GACUGCUCCGGUGGCAUAGUGGUUAGAGCGUCCGUCUCGGAUACGGGAGGUUCGUGGGUUCAAACCCCGGCCGAGUCA